GACGAACGCUGGCGGCGUGCUUAACACAUGCAAGUCGAACGGUGAUGCGGAGCUUGCUCCGCGGAUCAGUGGCGAACGGGUGAGUAACACGUGAGUAACCUGCCCUUGACUCUGGGAUAAGCGUUGGAAACGACGUCUAAUACCGGAUAUGACUUACGGACGCAUGUUCUGUGGGUGGAAAGAUUUUUCGGUCAAGGAUGGACUCGCGGCCUAUCAGCUUGUUGGUGAGGUAAUGGCUCACCAAGGCGACGACGGGUAGCCGGCCUGAGAGGGUGACCGGCCACACUGGGACUGAGACACGGCCCAGACUCCUACGGGAGGCAGCAGUGGGGAAUAUUGCACAAUGGGCGCAAGCCUGAUGCAGCAACGCCGCGUGAGGGACGACGG
rnacentral:rRNA from 1 species